CCUACGGGAGGCUGCAGUGAGGGAUAUUGGUCAAUGGGGGAAACCCUGAACCAGCAACGCCGCGUGAGGGAAGACGGUUUUCGGAUCGUAAACCUCUGUCCUCUGUGAAGAUAAUGACGGUAGCAGAGGAGGAAGCUCUGGCUAACUACGUCCCAGCAGCCGCGGUAAUACGGAGGGAGCAAGCGUUGUCCGGAUUUACUGGGUGUAAAGGGUGCGUAGGCGGCUUUGCAAGUCAGACGUGAAAUCCAUGGGCUUAACCCAGGAACUGCUUUUGAAACUGCAGAGCUUGAGUGGGUGAGAGGAAGGCGGAAUUCCCGGUGUAGCGGUGAAAUGCGUAGAGAUCGGGAGGAACACCAGUGGCGAAGGCGACCUGCUGGGCUCUAACUGACGCUGAGGCGCGAAAGCGUGGGUAGCAAACAGGAGUAGAUACCCUAGUAGUC
rnacentral:rRNA from 1 species